UAAGUUUGAUUAUCUCAUGACUGUUUUCGUCUACCCUGUAGAUCGAGCUGUGUGUUUUGAAGUGUUCAUACACAAGCUAGACUGCAAGGUGAACGACAAAAUGAGACAGCUU
rnacentral:miRNA from 1 species